rnacentral:lncRNA from 1 species
UUAACAUCCAAACCUGGACAUUUCCAGGAUCUGCUUCGAAUUUCAAGAGUUACCCCGAUACAGAGGACAGAUUCAAAAGCAUGUAAGAUGUAUGCUCUGAACUUCUCGGCUUUUGAUUUAUCUGUAUCUGUGUUGAACAUCAACUGCACUGUAGGUGCUGUUCGCAAUUACAAUAUUUGAGUAGAUUAAAGUUUAAAUAUGGAUUCAAAGAAAAUUAUGCAAUCAUGAAACAGUAUAUAAACAUCACUUACCCACACCAAAAUUGACUGACACUAGCUUUCCUUCUUGAUGCAUAAAAUUUUUCAGAGUAUUUAUCUGGAUUUGUUCAAGUACGUCGAUCCAAAUUCUCUCGAAGUCCACAGAGUCUGUAUUUUUUUUGACAAUAUCUGUUCUGUUAAUUUCUCUACAACGACGUGUCUUCUCCUGUAUUAUACUGGUAUUGACUUCAUUUCCUUUGUUUUCCUUAAUGUCAUUACUACUACUGUUACCAAUAUGAUUUGUAUUUGUGGGUAAUAAACUUUCUAUGAAACUAGUAUCACCAGAAGAAUUCGGAAACAUAUACUGUUGAUCUGAAGCAAGUUGGAGCAUGGAAGCUGUAAGCCAUGUUAUUUUGUCAUUUGACAC